rnacentral:rRNA from 1 species
AUACGUAGGUCCCGAACGUUGCGCGAAAUUACUGGGCGUAAAGGGUCCGUAGGCGGUCUGGUAAGUGGAAGGUGAAAGCCUGGGGCUCAACUCCAGAAUUGCCUUCCAAACUGCCGGACUUGAGGCAGGGAGAGGUCGGCGGAAUUCCCGGUGUAGUGGUGAAAUGCGUAGAUAUCGGGAGGAACACCAGUGGCGAAGGCGGCCGACUGGAACUGUACUGACGCUGAGGGACGAAAGCCAGGGGAGCGAACCGGAUUAGAAACCCUAGUAGUCC